AUGCAGUCGAACGGCAGCACGGGUGCUUGCACCUGGUGGCGAGUGGCGAACGGGUGAGUAAUACAUCGGAACAUGUCCUGUAGUGGGGGAUAGCCCGGCGAAAGCCGGAUUAAUACCGCAUACGAUCUAUGGAUGAAAGCGGGGGACCUUCGGGCCUCGCGCUAUAGGGUUGGCCGAUGGCUGAUUAGCUAGUUGGUGGGGUAAAGGCCUACCAAGGCGACGAUCAGUAGCUGGUCUGAGAGGACGACCAGCCACACUGGGACUGAGACACGGCCCAGACUCCUACGGGAGGCAGCAGUGGGGAAUUUUGGACAAUGGGCGAAAGCCUGAUCCAGCAAUGCCGCGUGUGUGAAGAAGGCCUUCGGGUUGUAAAGCACUUUUGUCCGGAAAGAAAUCCUUGGCUCUAAUACAGCCGGGGGAUGACGGUACCGGAAGAAUAAGCACCGGCUAACUACGUGCCAGCAGCCGCGGUAAUACGUAGGGUGCAAGCGUUAAUCGGAAUUACUGGGCGUAAAGCGUGCGCAGGCGGUUUGCUAAGACCGAUGUGAAAUCCCCGGGCUCAACCUGGGAACUGCAUUGGUGACUGGCAGGCUAGAGUAUGGCAGAGGGGGGUAGAAUUCCACGUGUAGCAGUGAAAUGCGUAGAGAUGUGGAGGAAUACCGAUGGCGAAGGCAGCCCCCUGGGCCAAUACUGACGCUCAUGCACGGAGAGGGGUGGGGGAGGAAACAGAUAGAUACCCUGGUAGUCCACGCCCUAAACGAUGUCAACUAGUUGUUGGGGAUUCAUUUCCUUAGUAACGAAGCUAACGCGUGAGUUGACCGCCUGGGGAUACGGUCGCAGAUUAAUACUCAAGGAAUUGACGGGGACCCGCACAAGCGGUGG
rnacentral:rRNA from 1 species